rnacentral:lncRNA from 1 species
GUGUCCAGGGGUGCCGAUCUACCAAGCAGGGACGGCGGUGGUGGCAUUUGCCCUGGAUAUGAGUUCAUUGGCAUAUCAUAUAAUGGCUGGGUCUGUGAAUCCCCAUUUGUCGCUGAUGUAUUAGACAUAAAUAUCUUGUUACUAGUUUCAUAUGAUGGAAAACUAGGAGCAACAGACUUCUCCAACGUAAGCGUUAAUUUUCUAAUUGAUUCUUCUAACCUUCCAAUCUGUUGUUUCAUUUGAUUCUGCUAAUGAUCUACAUACUGUUUAAUAGAUUGGAUGUCAUCGGGAUUACUUACGUUGGGGACUUGAAGCAAAGAUAGAAGAGAUGCGGCGUCGUCUCUCCACGUUUGACUACUUUCUGGUGGCGAUCCACCGUUUAUUGUGAUAAGAAUUUCUCCUUCUCUUGACGCAUGUAGUCCUCGUAUUGCUAUUGUUCAUCGACCGUCAUACUUUCAACAGU